rnacentral:rRNA from 1 species
GAUGAACGCUGGCGGCGUGCCUAACACAUGCAAGUCGAACGGAGUUAUUAUUAUGAAGUUUUCGGAUGGAUUAAUAAUAACUUAGUGGCGGACGGGCGAGUAACGCGUGGGUAACCUGCCUCAUACAGGGGGAUAACAGUUGGAAACGGCUGCUAAAACCGCAUAACAUUGCGAUGUCGCAUGACAAUGCAAUUAAAUAUUUAUAGGUAUGAGAUGGGCCCGCGUCUGAUUAGCUAGUUGGUGGGGUAGUGGCCUACCAAGGCGACGAUCAGUAGCCGGCUUGAGAGAGUGACCGGCCACAUUGGGACUGAGGCACGGCCCAAACUCCUACGGGAGGCAGCAGUGGGGAAUAUUGCACAAUGGGGGAAACCCUGAUGCAGCGACGCCGCGUGAGUGAAGAAGUAUUUCGGUAUGUAAAGCUCUAUCAGCAGGGAAGAAAAUGACGGUACCUGACUAAGAAGCCCCGGCUAACUACGUGCCAGCCGCCGCAGUAA